rnacentral:rRNA from 1 species
AACGAACGCUGGCGGCAUGCCUAACACAUGCAAGUCGAAUGAGACCUUCGGGUCUAGUGGCGCACGGGUGCGUAACGCGUGGAAACCUGCCCUUAGGUUCGGAAUAACUCCCCGAAAGGGGUGCUAAUACCGGAUAAUGUCUUCGGACCAAAGAUUUAUCGCCUUUGGAUGGGCCCGCGUUGGAUUAGCUAGUUGGUAGGGUAAAAGCCUACCAAGGCGACGAUCCAUAGCUGGUCUGAGAGGAUGAUCAGCCACACUGGGACUGAGACACGGCCCAGACUCCUACGGGAGGCAGCAGUGGGGAAUAUUGGACAAUGGGCGAAAGCCUGAUCCAGCAAUGCCGCGUGAGUGAUGAAGGCCUUAGGGUUGUAAAGCUCUUUUACCCGGGAUGAUAAUGACAGUACCGGGAGAAUAAGCUCCGGCUAACUCCGUG